UACGGAGGGUGCAAGCGUUAUCCGGAUUUACUGGGCGUAAAGGAUGCGUAGGCGGACAUUUAAGUCAGAUGUGAAAUACCCGAGCUUAACUUGGGUGCUGCAUUUGAAACUGGGUGUCUAGAGUGCAGGAGAGGUAAGUGGAAUUCCUAGUGUAGCGGUGAAAUGCGUAGAGAUUAGGAAGAACACCAGUGGCGAAGGCGACUUACUGGACUGUAACUGACGCUGAGGCAUGAAAGCGUGGGGAGCAAACAGG
rnacentral:rRNA from 1 species